UGCCAGUGACUCUGUGUUCAGUGUCACUCACAAGGGCUCUGCAGGCUGGCCGAGUGUGUGGAAUGAGGCGAGGGUCUGCAGUGAGGGCGCAGACAGCAUGGCCGACUGACCUACAAACAGCAGCAGUGAAGGAGUGGGCUGUGACCUUCACGGGCUGCUGGUGGUCAAGUUUGCGCACCGCAAGAAAAUGCGCCUGUGAGCAAAAAUACUUUCAUUGUCUUGAUGAGCGCUCACUUCCCCCGGGCUCUCCCAAGUAGGCGGUCGUUAUGAUAACAUCCUCCCUCUCUGGAUGCUUGCCACUCUGUGUUGAUGAGCAGCCGUAGCAGACUCAAUCCUCAGGAGGGUGCAGGUGCAGCAAACCAUAGGAGUGGAUAUCUUCCUUUUUCAAGCAUGUGAGAGAAGUGACUGGCACGGGACAAAAGGCCUGAUCCAGUCAGGAGUCACGAGCUGAGCUAUUAGUUCCAGCUAAUGACACUCAUGACUGUUUAGCUGCACUGCGCCUUGUGAGGCAGUCAAGCACUAACAGAAAUCCACGCUUUCAUGGCCUGCUUGUGAGAAUGCUCGGUUGGCAUGUUAAACACUGCAAAUCCAUUUUGGUUGUCUGCUCCCCUGGCAGACACUUCUAAUGUCAAGCAAGAGUAGGGCGAACAACAAGGAUUAUUUCAACCACUCUCUCUAUUUUCAAAUGACAACAAACAAGCAGUUUAGUUGAGCUAUACUACCAGUCAACAUUCAUGGAGGGAAAUUGACUAAAGCAUGCCAACAUAGUAUACGGUUGUGUGUUUAAAUUGGACAAACACAAUAAUUACAUUUUCUGUAAGAGUACGUUAGAUGACCCAAUAAACGCACCGAUCGUAGGACUACAUACAGAUGUCAUGACGUGUUGUGUCUGAUG